rnacentral:rRNA from 1 species
UAGAGUUUGAUCAUGGCUCAGAGCGAACGCUGGCGGCAGGCCUAACACAUGCAAGUCGAGCGGCCGUAGCAAUACGGCAGCGGCAGACGGGAGAGUAACACGUGGGAACGCGCCCUUUGGUUCGGAACAACCCAGGGAAACUUGGGCUAAUACCGGAUACGUCCGUAAGGAGAAAGAUUUAUCGCUGAAGGAUCGGCCCGCGUCUGAUUAGCUAGUUGGUGGGGUAAUGGCCCACCAAGGCGACGAUCAAUAGCUGGUCUGAGAGGAUGAUCAGCCUCACUGGGACUGAGACACGGCCCAGACUCCUACGGGAGGCAGCAGUGGGGAAUUUUGCGCAAUGGGGGAAACCCUGAMGSMRSAAMSSCSSSKKRRKKRWKRAAGGCCUUCGGGUCGUAAAGCWCUGACAGGGGGGAAGAACCGGCAGGAUGCUAAUACCAUCUUGCCCUGACGGUACCCCUAAAGGAAGCACCGGCUAACUCCGUGCCWGCCGCCGCGGWAAUAC